UACAGAGGGUGCAAGCGUUAAUCGGAAUUACUGGGCGUAAAGCGUGCGUAGACGGUAGCGUAAGUCGGGUGUGAAAGCCCCGGGCUCAACCUGGGAAUGGCAUUCGAGACUGCUCUGCUAGGGUGCGGAAGAGGGGAGCGGAAUUUCCGGUGUAGCGGUGAAAUGCGUAGAUAUCGGGAAGAACACCCGUGGCGAAGGCGGCUCUCUGGGACGGUACUGACGCUGAGACGCGAAAGCGUGGGGAGCGAACAGG
rnacentral:rRNA from 1 species